rnacentral:lncRNA from 1 species
UCUGGGUCAGACCGGGGUGUUUUUGGGUCAGAACCGGUGUUUCUGGGUCCCCUUUGUGUUUUUGGGGUCAGAGCGGGGUGUUUUUGGGGUCAGACCGGGGUGUUUUUGGGCUCCCAUUCGGGGUGUUUCUGGGUCCCAUUCGGGGUGUUUUUGGGCUCCCAUUCGGGGUGUUUCUGGGUCCCAUUCGGGGUGUUUUUGGGCUCCCAUUCGGGGUGUUUCUGGGUCAGAACCGGGUGUUUCUGGGUCCCAUUUGUGUUUUUGGGUCAGACCGGGGUGUUUCUGGGUCAGAACCGGGGUGUUUUUGGGGUCCCAUUUGGGGUGUUUCUGGGUCAGACCGGGGUGUUUUUGGGGUCCCAUUCGGGGUGUUUUUGGGGUCAGAACCGGGGUGUUUUUGGGGUCCCAUUUGGGGUUUUUGGGCUCCCAUUCGGGGUGUUUUUGGGCUCCCAUUCGGGGUGUUUUUGGGGUCCCAUUUGGGGUUUUUGGGGUCCCAUUUGGGGUGUUUCUGGGUCAGAACCGGGUGUUUCUGGGCCCCUCCGUUGCCCGUACGCACCCUGGCCGCCGCGGCCCUCCUGGCAGCGCAGGCGCACCCAGUGGUCCGAGAUGUUGAGGAUGACCAGCGGGUGCAGCGCCACGGCCACGCUGCCCGUCACGCCGCCGGCCAUCACCUGCGCCGGCCCUGCCGCGCCGCCGGGGGUUCGGGAAUCACCGGGAAUUCCAGAGUCACCGGGGGGUUCGGGAAUAACCGGGAAUUCCAGAGUCACCGGGGGGUUCGGGAAUCACCGGGAAUUCC